rnacentral:rRNA from 1 species
UACGGAGGAUCCAAGCGUUACCCGGAAUUAUUGGGCGUAAAGAGUUGCGUAGGCGGUUUGUUAAGUGGAAUGUGAAAUCUCCUGGCUCAACCAGGAGGGUAUAUUCCAAACUGGCAAACUAGAGGAUGGUAGAGGUAAGUGGAAUUGCUGGUGUAGGAGUGAAAUCCGUAGAUAUCAGCAGGAACACCAAUGGCGAAGGCAGCUUACUGGGCCAUUUCUGACGCUAAGGCACGAAAGCGUGGGGAGCGAA